rnacentral:rRNA from 1 species
AAUUAUAAUUAUUAAUUUUUAAUUGGAAGUGAAAUAUUAAUCAAUUUUAAAUAUAUCUAGUUUUUUUAAAAUUGAAUUAAAUUCAGCUUUAAAAUUUUAUAUAAAUUAAUUUAAUUUUAUUAUAUAAAAAUUUAUUUUAAAGUAAAUAUAAUCGGGAUAAAUUGAUUAUAUUAAUUUAUAAAUUAAUUUUAUUUAAUAAAUAGUAUAAAUAAUAUUAAAAUUAUAUAUUUUUAAAAAUAAUGUUUUAAUUUAUAUUUUAAAUUUAAAAAGAAAAUUAAAAAAUUUUUGAUUUUAAUAAUUUAUAAAAAUUUAUUAUUUAAUGUUUAUUUAUUAAAAAUAAUGAUUAUAUUAGUAAAAUUAUUAUUGUUGUUAAAUUAUUUAUUAAAUGAAUAAAUAAAUUUAAGGAAUUAGGCAAAAAUUUUAAUAUUUAUAAAAUUUAUAUUUACCUGUUUAUCAAAAACAUGGCUUAUUGAUUUAAAUAAUAAGUUUGUUCUGCCCAUUGAAUUUAUAAUUUAAAAGGCUGCAGUAUAAUGACUGUACAAAGGUAGCAAAAUCAAUAGUUUUUUAAUUGAAAACUGGAAUGAAUGAAUUAAUAAAAUAUAAACUGUCUCAAAUUUAAUAUAUUAUUGAAUUUAAAAUAAAAGUUAAAAUGCUUUUAUAAAUUUAUUAGACGAUAAGACCCUAAGAAUUUAAUUUAUUUAGUUAAUAAGAAAUUUUAUAAUUAUAUUUAUUUAUAUAUAAUAAAUUAAAUAAAUUUUAUUGGGAGGGUAAUUAAAUUUUUAAACUUUAAUUAUUAAAUUA